CUGAGCUCGGGCUAUCCGCCCGACCUCCCAACCCUUCUGUCGUCUCCGACCGCGUUGCCUCGGGGGAUCCGCCUCACGGCGGCCCCCGGAGGACCACAUAACUCUGCGUAACCGUCGUCCGAGUCUAAACAAAAUUUGAAACACAACUUUCAACAACGGAUCUCUUGGCUCUGGCAUCGAUGAAGAACGCAGCGAAAUGCGAUAAGUAAUGUGAAUUGCAGAAUUCCGUGAAUCAUCGAAUCUUUGAACGCACAUUGCGCCCCUCGGUAUUCCGGGGGGCAUGCCUGUUCGAGCGUCAUUACACCAAUCAAGCCCCGGCUUGGUCUUGGGCGUCGCGGUCUCCCGCGUGCCUCAAUGUCGCCGGCUGGUGCGUCCGUCUCUAAGCGUUGUGAUCAACAGCCGCUCCAGAGGCCGGACGGGCCGCGCCGUCAAGCCUUUUCUUUACAGGUUGACCUCGGAUCAGGUAGGGAUACCCGCUGAACUUAAGCAUAUCAAUAA
rnacentral:misc_RNA from 1 species